rnacentral:rRNA from 1 species
GAUGAACGCUGGCGGCGUGCUUAACACAUGCAAGUCGAACGGAGUAUGUUAACCGAGACCUUCGGGUCUCACCUGAUAUACUUAGUGGCGGACGGGUGAGUAACGCGUGAGCAACCAGCCUUAUGCAGAGGGAUAACAAUUAGAAAUGAUUGCUAAUACCUCAUAAGACCACGCUAUAGCAUGGUAAAGUGGGAAAAACUCCGGUGGCAUAAGACGGGCUCGCGUUCGAUUAGCUAGAUGGUGGGGUAACGGCCUACCAUGGCGACGAGCGAUAGCCGGACUGAGAGGUCGACCGGCCACAUUGGGACUGAGACACGGCCCAGACUCCUACGGGAGGCAGCAGUGGGGAAUAUUGCACAAUGGGGGAAACCCUGAUGCAGCGACGCCGCGUGAGUGAAGAAGUAUUUCGGUAUGUAAAGCUCUUUUAGCAGGGAAGAUGAUGACGGUACCUGCAGAAAAAGCCCCGGCUAAAUACGUGCCAGCCGCCGCCGUAACAC